ACGAACCGCACGCGAAUUCGAAUGAAUUCCGCCCCCGGUACAUGCUGCCCCGCAACAUUUGAUAACGGAUGUAAACCUGGAGUUAUUAAUGAGUCCCGUCCCCCCCUAGUAAUAGAGCUGCACAAGUUUCUUCCAUGGUCCAAUUCUCUGCCUGCCUAGGAAUAUGUGCUUAUUCAAAAAGAGUGUCCUCAGUGCUCCAAUUAAUGCAGAAAGAUAUUAACGAAACUUUGCAGCUUAUGGGUAUCAAUUAGAGGUUUACGCCGACUGUGUUAGCUUCGGCGGCGGCGUAGAGGCCAAAAAAUAUCGGCGGCGGCGGCUUAGCCGACGAACUAGUCGGCGGCGGCGGCGUAAGCAAUAAAUAAAUAACACUUUUCUUUUUUAACUUAAAAAAAUAUCACUUCAUGUGUUUAUUAAGUAUUCAAAAAAAUUAAAAUUACAACAAAUUAACAGUAGUCCUUCAUGGACUUUCCUUACUAAUAUAAAAAUUUAAGUCUUCAUUUAUA